rnacentral:snRNA from 1 species
GUUCCCUGGAAAGGGGCG